rnacentral:rRNA from 1 species
AUGGCGAAAGAGCGCUCUGCGGGGGACCAGAUAGCGGCUUGGUUCGACCCCAAGGCGCGCGACAUGGGAGACGAGGACAUGGCGGCCUUCUUCGCCUCGCUGAUGCAGAUGAAGGACGCCGUCUCCGAUCGCGCCAACCAGGUUCUCCUCGAGGCGAUGCACGCCCACAUGAGCCGCAUGGCGGAGGUGGCCCCGCCGCCGCCGCCGCCCCAGAUCUCCUUGGAGUUCGGUAGCAGCAGCGGCACCACCAACGACGGGAUGGAGUUCCAGUUUCUGGCGCCUCCGCCACAGGAGCAGGGAUUCGAAGCCGCGAUGGAUAUGCAGCAGAUGGUGAUGGCGCCGCUGCCUCCGUCUCAGGUGGUCGCCGCCCGGAUGGAUGUGCAGGAGAUGCCUCCGCUGCCGGGGUUGGCCGCCGGGAUGGAUACGGAGCAGAUGCAGAUGACGAUGCCUAAGCCGCCGGGGUUCGACGCAGGGCUAGACAAGGAGAUAGAUCAAUGGCUUGAUGUGAUGCUGCCGCGUCCGGAGUUCACUGCCGGGAUGGAGACGGUGCAGCAGGGGCUCCAUCAACCCAACGCCGGCUUCCCGUCCUGA